rnacentral:piRNA from 1 species
UGGGACUGUGAAACAUGUCGCAGACUCC